GAUGAACGCUAGCGGCAGGCCUAAUACAUGCAAGUCGAGGGGUAGAAGAGGCUUGCUUCUUUGAGACCGGCGCACGGGUGCGUAACGCUUAUGCAACCUACCUUCAUCUGGGGGAUAGCCAGGAGAAAUCCGGAUUAAUACCGCAUAAAAUCACAGGAUGGCAUUAUCCAAUGAUCAAACAUUUAUCGGAUGGUGAUGGGCAUGCGUGUCAUUAGCUAGUUGGCGGGGUAACGGCCCACCAAGGCGACGAUGACUAGGGGAUCUGAGAGGAUGGACCCCCACACUGAUACUGAGACACGGACCAGACUCCUACGGGAGGCAGCAGUAAGGAAUAUUGGUCAAUGGAGGCAACUCUGAACCAGCCAUGCCGCGUGCAGGAAGACUGCCCUAUGGGUUGUAAACUGCUUUUAUUCGGGAAUAAACCUUAUUACGUGUAAUAAGCUGAAGGUACCGAAGGAAUAAGGAUCGGCUAACUCCGUGCCAGCAGCCGCGGUAA
rnacentral:rRNA from 1 species